AAAAGUUUUAGCAGGAUUUACUCUUCUAACAAGAUUUACAGAGUUAGCUUGGGUUUGCUUCCUCUCAUUGCCCUCAACUCAGAGACAGGUUUUGCAAAAUAUACAUUUAACAAACUCACUUUAUUUGAUCUUUGUGAAAAGCUUAGAAGAGAUUUAGUGGAGAAAUGGAUUUGAUGGCCAGAGAAAGAAGAGGCAGAGGAAAUAGGAAGCUUUGACAAGUAGAGGUGACGCAGUGGUCACUGAAGGAUACCUCUCACAUGAUGUGGACAAAAUAAAUGUUUGAUAUUGCUACUGCUAAUGAUGAUGAUGGUUGAAAAAUAUUCACCUGACUGAUGACUUCACAGUCAGCCUGCCGAGAUAGCAGUUAGAUCUGAUCUGCCUGCACUUCUUAAGAAAGCAUCAAGGUUUUUGAGUCCUAGUUCUUCUUCCAACUCUGGACCUGUAGCAUGGACAGGAACUAUGGAGCAACACAAGUCUCUCUUAGAUAAGAGAAUUAUUCAU
rnacentral:lncRNA from 1 species